rnacentral:misc_RNA from 1 species
UGAAAAAUCCACAAAUGGCGACGACGUCACUCACUGAGUUGGAUGACGAUACAGUUCGCAGCAUGUCUAUUGGAGCCGUUUUCUCAGAUUUUGGUGGGAAAAUAAAUUCUGUUGAUUUUCAUCGGAAAGACGAUUUGUUGGUCACGGCGAGUGAGGAUGAUUCUGUUCGGCUUUAUGACAUUGCAAGUGCCAAGUUGCUCAAGACAACUUAUCACAAGAAACAUGGUGCUGACCGCAUUUGUUUUACCCACCACCCUAGCUCUGUUAUUUGUUCCUCUAAAUACAAUUUGGAUUCUAAUGGAGAAUCCUUACGAUAUCUAUCAAUGUAUGAUAAUAGGUGUCUUCGCUACUUCAAAGGGCAUAAGGAGAGAGUUGUUUCCCUUUGCAUGUCUCCGAUCAAUGACAGUUUCAUGUCUGGUUCCCUUGACCACAGCGUCAGAAUAUGGGAUCUUCGUGUAAACGCUUGCCAGGGAAUUUUGCGCCUACGUGGUAGACCUACAGUUGCAUAUGACCAACAAGGUCUUGUCUUUGCUGUGGCAAUGGAAGGGGGUGCAAUUAAAUUGUUUGAUUCACGUUCAUAUGACAAGGGUCCCUUUGACACCUUUUUAGUUGGUGGAGACACAGCUGAGGUUUGUGAUAUUAAAUUCAGCAAUGAUGGCAAAUCAAUGCUUUUGACAACCACAAGUAAUAAUAUUUAUGUUCUUGAUGCAUAUGGAGGAGAGAAGCGAUGUGGUUUCAGUUUGGAACCAUCUCCAAAUACUACUAUAGAGGCAACUUUUACUCCUGAUGGCCAGUAUGUGGUAUCAGGCUCAGGAGAUGGAACCUUGCAUGCCUGGAAUAUCAACAUGAGAAAUGAGGUUGCAUUCUGGAACAGUCACAUAGGUGUCUCAUCGUGCUUGAAAUGGGCACCUCGCCGGGCCAUGUUUGUUGCUGCAUCCUCAGUUCUUACGUUUUGGAUACCAAAUAAUUCAAAAUCAGCUGCAGAGCCUCGAUCCAUGGAAAAUGAAGGGGUCGAGCAUAUUUCUCAAUGAUGAAAACCGGGUCUUCCUUGCCUGUUUAAAUUAUCUGCAAUGGAUAGUAAUUACCAUAAACAUUAUGUACCAUUAUAGGGCCACAAUUUUGGUGUGAGCUUGAAUUGGCCUCAAUUUUGUAAUAUUAUGGUUUUAUUUUAAUAAAUAUUUGUGAUCUUCAUUUUCAAAAA